UGGGGAAUAUUGGACAAUGAGCGAAAGCCUGAUCCAGCAAUGCCGCGUGGGUGAAGAAGGUCUUCGGAUCGUAAAGCCCUUUCGACGGGGACGAUGAUGACGGUACCCGUAGAAGAAGCCCCGGCUAACUUCGUGCCAGCAGCCGCGGUAAUACGAAGGGGGCUAGCGUUGCUCGGAAUUACUGGGCGUAAAGGGCGCGUAGGCGGCACCGCUCGUCAGGCGUGAAAUUCCUGGGCUCAACCUGGGGGACUGCGCUUGAUACGGCGGAGCUAGAGGAUGGAAGAGGCUCGUGGAAUUCCCAGUGUAGAGGUGAAAUUCGUAGAUAUUGGGAAGAACACCGGUGGCGAAGGCGGCGAGCUGGUCCAUUACUGACGCUGAGGCGCGACAGCGUGGGGAGCAAACAGGAUUAGAUACCCUGGUAGUCCACGCCGUAAACGAUGUGCGCUGGAUGUUGGGUGGCAUAGCCACUCAGUGUCGCAGCUAACGCGGUAAGCGCACCGCCUGGGGAGUACGGCCGCAAGG
rnacentral:rRNA from 1 species